rnacentral:rRNA from 1 species
GCGGCGUGCUUAACACAUGCAAGUCGAACGGAAAGGUCUCUUCGGAGACACUCGAGUGGCGAACGGGUGAGUAACACGUGGGCAAUCUGCCCUGCACACCGGGAUAAGCCUGGGAAACUGGGUCUAAUACCGGAUAGGACCACUUGGCGCAUGCCUUGUGGUGGAAAGCUUUUGCGGUGUGGGAUGGGCCCGCGGCCUAUCAGCUUGUUGGUGGGGUGACGGCCUACCAAGGCGACGACGGGUAGCCGGCCUGAGAGGGUGUCCGGCCACACUGGGACUGAGAUACGGCCCAGACUCCUACGGGAGGCAGCAGUGGGGAAUAUUGCACAAUGGGCGCAAGCCUGAUGCAGCGACGCCGCGUGGGGGAUGACGGCCUUCGGGUUGUAAACCUCUUUCACCAUCGACGAAGGUCCGGGUUCUCUCGGAUUGACGGUAGGUGGAGAAGAAGCACCGGCCAACUACGUGCCAGCAGCCGCGNUAAUACGUAGGGUGCGAGCGUUGUCCGGAAUUACUGGGCGUAAAGAGCUCGUAGGUGGUUUGUCGCGUUGUUCGUGAAAUCUCACGGCUUAACUGUGAGCGUGCGNGCGAUACGGGCAGACUAGAGUACUGCAGGGGAGACUGGAAUUCCUGGUGUAGCGGUGGAAUGCGCAGAUAUCAGGAGGAACACCGGUGGCGAAGGCGGGUCUCUGGGCAGUAACUGACGCUGAGGAGCGAAAGCGUGGGGAGCGAACAGGAUUAGAUACCCUGGUAGUCCACGCNGUAAACGGUGGGUACUAGGUGUGGGUUUCCUUCCUUGGGAUCCGUGCCGUAGCUAACGCAUUAAGUACCCCGCCUGGGGAGUACGGCNGCAAGGCUAAAACUCAAAGGAAUUGACGGGGGNCCGCACAAGCGGCGGAGCAUGUGGAUUAAUUCGAUGCAACGCGAAGAACCUUACCUGGGUUUGACAUGCACAGGACGCGUCUAGAGAUAGGCGUUCCCUUGUGGCCUGUGUGCAGGUGGUGCAUGGCUGUCGUCAGCUCGUGUCGUGAGAUGUUGGGUUAAGUCCCGCAACGAGCGCAACCCUUGUCUCAUGUUGCCAGCGGGUAAUGCCGGGGACUCGUGAGAGACUGCCGGGGUCAACUCGGAGGAAGGUGGGGAUGACGUCAAGUCAUCAUGCCCCUUAUGUCCAGGGCUUCACACAUGCUACAAUGGCCGGUACAAAGGGCUGCGAUGCCGCGAGGUUAAGCGAAUCCUUUUAAAGCCGGUCUCAGUUCGGAUCGGGGUCUGCAACUCGACCCCGUGAAGUCGGAGUCGCUAGUAAUCGCAGAUCAGCAACGCUGCGGUGAAUACGUUCCCGGGCCUUGUACACACCGCCCGUCACGUCAUGAAAGUCGGUAACACCCGAAGCCAGUGGCCUAACCCUCGGGAGGGAGCUGUCGAAGGUGGGAUCGGCGAUUGGGACGAAGUCGUAACAAGGUAGCCGU